GGGGACAUAGCUCAGCUGGGAGAGCAACAGACUGAAGUGACACUUUCUUUGUCCGGAGAAUUCUUCUGGAGGUCCCCAGUUCAAUCCUGGGUGUCCCCA